GACGAACGCUGGCGGCGUGCUUAACACAUGCAAGUCGAACGGAAAGGCCUCUUUCGGGGGGUACUCGAGUGGCGAACGGGUGAGUAACACGUGAGUGUCAUGCCCUUGACUUUGGGAUAACUUCAGGAAACUGGGGCUAAUACCGGGUAGGAGCUCCUGCGGCAUGGUGGGGGUUGGAGAGUUUCGGCGGGUGGGGGUGGGCUCGCGGCUUAUCUGCUUGUUGGUGGGGUAGUGGCUUACCAAGGCUUUGACGGGUAGGCGGCCUGAGAGGGUGACCGGCCACAAUGGGACUGAGAUACGGCCCCGACUCCUACGGGAGGCAGGAGUGGGGAAGAUUGCACAAUGGGUGGAAGCCUGAUGCAGCAACGCCGUGUGCGGGAUGACGGCCCUCCGGUUGGAAACCGCUUUCGCUCAUGACGAAGGUUUGUGUGACGGUAGUGGGUAAAGAAGCACCGGCUAACUACGUG
rnacentral:rRNA from 1 species